UACGUAGGGGGCAAGCGUUGUCCGGAUUUAUUGGGCGUAAAGAGCGUGUAGGCGGCCUGAAAGGUCAGCUGUGAAAACUCGAGGCUCAACCUCGAGACGUCGGUUGAAACCAUCUGGCUAGAGUCCGGAAGAGGAGUGUGGAAUUCCUGGUGUAGCGGUGAAAUGCGCAGAUAUCAGGAGGAACACCGGUGGCGAAGGCGGGUCUCUGGGCCGAUAUUGACGCUGAGGAGCGAAAGCGUGGGGAGCGAACAGG
rnacentral:rRNA from 1 species